GUCUGUGCAUGCAGGGAAGAGCAGAGAUCCCGUGACUGGGGGAAGCUGCGUGACCACAGUGUUGGAAAAUGGAAUCAGGCUACACGUGCUCUUGUGGGAAUCCCACGGCAGCGUCCCCAUGAGGAGGCAGGGGCCCACCAUCACCGGCUGCACCUCUGACCUUCGAUGACCUUGGGGGCCAGGUGUCACGGUCACCCUGCACACGUGGGUUCCCUCAGCUGCUCUCAGGAACAAGAGAAUGAACCUGUCACCUCCUCUCCCGCUUGAAGGACAGCACCAUUUAUUGUUUACUGUGGGCUGAGACAGCUGGGGAUUCCUCACUGCGAUGGAGCCGACAUGCAAUAUUGAGGCAAAGAUGGCAGGGAGGUGGGGGGCAGCGCAGAGGAGAAGAGGAGAGAGCCCUCCCACAGCAGGCCUCCCUCUGGGCAGGCUGAGCUUUGCCACUAGCAAGCCCCGCCGGUGCCGGGGAAGGGGAGAAGACACAGGACCUGGAGGGAGGCCUUGGUGAAUUGAGCCUUGGCUUUGCUGGGUGACCCAGGCUUGGUCCCUGGAUGCCUCUGAGCUGUUGCUGGAACGUGACCUCCCACCUCCCACGAUAGAAGAAAAGUGGUCUGGACAAAGGAGGCUGCAAUGGACUGAAUGUUGUAUUCCUCCCCAGUUCACAGGCUGAACCCCUAAUCCCAAGGUGAUGGGAUUUGGAGGCAGGACCUUUGGGAGGAAUUAGGUCAUGAGGGUGGAGCCCUUGUGAUGAGAUUAGUGCCCUGGUAAGAAGAGGCCAGAGAGCUGGCUAGCUCUUUUUCUGCCACGUGAAGAUAACGAGAAGGCAGCCACCUGUAAACUAGGAAGACAGCCCUCACCAGAACCUGACCUUGCUGGAACCUUGAUGUUGGACUUUCAAACCCCAGAGCUAUGAGAAAUAAAUGUCUG
rnacentral:lncRNA from 10 species